GCUGGGAUAGCUCAGCUGGUAGAGCAUGCGACUCUUAAUCUCAGGGUUGUGAGUUCAAGACCCAUGUUGGGCA